rnacentral:rRNA from 1 species
UACGAAGGGGGCUAGCGUUGCUCGGAUUGACUGGGCGUAAAGGGCGCGUAGGCGGUUCGUACAGUCAGACGUGAAAUUCCUGGGCUCAACCUGGGGGCUGCGCUUGAGACUGGUUGGCUAGAGGCCGAGAGAGGGUGGUGGAAUUCCCAGUGUAGAGGUGAAAUUCGUAGAUAUUGGGAAGAACACCGGUGGCGAAGGCGGCCACCUGGCUCGGUACUGACGCUGAGGCGCGACAGCGUGGGGAGCAAACAGG